rnacentral:rRNA from 1 species
GACGAACGCUGGCGGCGUGCCUAAUACAUGCAAGUCGAGCGGACUUUCAAGAAGCUUGCUCUUUGAAAGUUAGCGGCGGACGGGUGAGUAACACGUGGGCAACCUGCCUGCAAGACGGGGAUAACUACGGGAAACCGGGGCUAAUACCGGAUAAUAUCUUCCUUCGCAUGAAGCAAGGUUGAAAGGCGGCGCUAGCUGCCGCUUGCGCAUGGGCCCGCGGCGCGUUAGCUUGUGGGUGAGGUGAAGGGUCACCAAGGCGAGGAUGCGUAACCGGCCUGAGAGGGGGAUGCGCCAAACUGGGACUGGGACACGGGCCACAACCCCACGGGGGGGAGCCGUAAGGGAACCUCCGGAAAGGGCGAAAAGCUGAAGGGGGAACGCCGCGGGAGGGAAGAAGGGCGUCGGGUCGGAAAAAUCCGUUGUCAGGGAAGAAAAAAUACCGUUCGUAAAGGGCCGUACCUUGACGGUACCUGACCAGAAAGCCACGGCUAACUACGUG